UUUCUAAUGCACCCUGGCUGCCGGCUUAACUAUCACCGUCGAGCGGGGAAAGGUAGCUUGCUACUGGUACCUAGCGGCGGACGGGUGAGUAAUGCUUAGGAAUCUGCCUAUUAGUGGGGGACAACAUUCCGAAAGGAAUGCUAAUACCGCAUACGUCCUACGGGAGAAAGCAGGGGACCUUCGGGCCUUGCGCUAAUAGAUGAGCCUAAGUCGGAUUAGCUAGUUGGUGGGGUAAAGGCCUACCAAGGCGACGAUCUGUAGCGGGUCUGAGAGGAUGAUCCGCCACACUGGGACUGAGACACGGCCCAGACUCCUACGGGAGGCAGCAGUGGGGAAUAUUGGACAAUGGGGGGAACCCUGAUCCAGCCAUGCCGCGUGUGUGAAGAAGGCCUUAUGGUUGUAAAGCACUUUAAGCGAGGAGGAGGCUACUAGUAUUAAUACUACUGGAUAGUGGACGUUACUCGCAGAAUAAGCACCGGCUAACUCUGUGCCAGCAGCCGCGGUAAUACAGAGGGUGCGAGCGUUAAUCGGAUUUACUGAGCGUAAAGCGUGCGU
rnacentral:rRNA from 1 species